rnacentral:rRNA from 1 species
AAAGCCCCGGGAUGACUUGUGGAUAGGGGUGAAAGGCCAAUCAAACUUCGUGAUAGCUGGUUCUCUCCGAAAUAUAUUUAGGUAUAGCGUUGUGUCGUAAUAUAAGGGGGUAGAGCACUGAAUGGGCUAGGGCAUACACCAAUGUACCAAACCCUAUCAAACUCCGAAUACCUUAUAUGUAAUCACAGCAGUCAGGCGGCGAGUGAUAAAAUCCGUCGUCAAGAGGGAAACAACCCAGACUACCAGCUAAGGUCCCUAAAUCUUACUUAAGUGGAAAACGAUGUGAAGUUACUUAAACAACCAGGAGGUUGGCUUAGAAGCAGCCAUCCUUUAAAGAAAGCGUAAUAGCUCACUGGUCUAGUGAUUUUGCGCGGAAAAUAUAACGGGGCUAAAGUAAGUACCGAAGCUGUAGACUUAGUUUACUAAGUGGUAGGAGAGCGUUCUAUUUGCGUCGAAGGUAUACCGGUAAGGAGUGCUGGAGCGAAUAGAAGUGAGCAUGCAGGCAUGAGUAGCGAUAAUUAAUGUGAGAAUCAUUAACGCCGUAAACCCAAGGUUUCCUACGCGAUGCUCGUCAUCGUAGGGUUAGUCGGGUCCUAAGUCGAGUCCGAAAGGGGUAGACGAUGGCAAAUUGGUUAAUAUUCCAAUACCAACAUUAGUGUGCGAUGGAAGGACGCUUAGGGCUAAGGGGGCUAGCGGAUGGAAGUGCUAGUCUAAGGUCGUAGGAGGUUAUACAGGCAAAUCCGUAUAACAAUACUCCGAGAACUGAAAGGCUUUUUGAAGUCUUCGGAUGGAUAGAAGAACCCCUGAUGCCGUCGAGCCAAGAAAAGUUUCUAAGUUUAGCUAAUGUUGCCCGUACCGUAAACCGACACAGGUGGGUGGGAUGAGUAUUCUAAGGCGCGUGGAAGAACUCUCUUUAAGGAACUCUGCAAAAUAGCACCGUAUCUUCGGUAUAAGGUGUGGUUAGCCUUGUAUUAGGAUUUACUCCGAAAGCAAGGAAACUUACAACAAAGAGUCCCUCCCGACUGUUUACCAAAAACACAGCACUCUGCUAACUCGUAAGAGGAUGUAUAGGGUGUGACGCCUGCCCGGUGCUCGAAGGUUAAUUGAUGGGGUUAGUAUUAGCGAAGCUCUUGAUCGAAGCCCGAGUAAACGGCGGCCGUAACUAUAACGGUCCUAAGGUAGCGAAAUUCCUUGUCGGUUAAAUACCGACCUGCAUGAAUGGCGUAACGAGAUGGGAGCUGUCUCAAAGAGGGAUCCAGUGAAAUUGUAGUGGAGGUGAAAAUUCCUCCUACCCGCGGCAAGACGGAAAGACCCCGUGGACCUUUACUACAGCUUGACACUGCUACUUGGAUAAGAAUGUGCAGGAUAGGUGGGAGGCUUUGAGUAUAUGACGCCAGUUGUAUAUGAGCCAUUGUUGAGAUACCACUCUUUCUUAUUUGGGUAGCUAACCAGCUUGAGUUAUCCUCAAGUGGGACAAUGUCUGGUGGGUAGUUUGACUGGGGCGGUCGCCUCCCAAAUAAUAACGGAGGCUUACAAAGGUUGGCUCAGAACGGUUGGAAAUCGUUCGUAGAGUAUAAAGGUAUAAGCCAGCUUAACUGCAAGACAUACAAGUCAAGCAGAGACGAAAGUCGGUCUUAGUGAUCCGGUGGUUCUGUGUGGAAGGGCCAUCGCUCAAAGGAUAAAAGGUACCCCGGGGAUAACAGGCUGAUCUCCCCCAAGAGCUCACAUCGACGGGGAGGUUUGGCACCUCGAUGUCGGCUCAUCGCAUCCUGGGGCUGGAGCAGGUCCCAAGGGUAUGGCUGUUCGCCAUUUAAAGCGGUACGCGAGCUGGGUUCAGAACGUCGUGAGACAGUUCGGUCCCUAUCUGCCGUGGGCGUAAGAAGAUUGAAGAGAUUUGACCCUAGUACGAGAGGACCGGGUUGAACAAACCACUGGUGUAGCUGUUGUUCUGCCAAGAGCAUCGCAGCGUAGCUAAGUUUGGAAAGGAUAAACGCUGAAAGCAUCUAAGCGUGAAGCCAACUCUAAGAUGAAUCUUCUCUAAGCUCUCUAGAAGACUACUAGUUUGAUAGGCUGGGUGUGUAAUGGAUGAAAGUCCUUUAGCUGACCAGUACUAAUAGAGCGUUUGGCUUAUCUUUAAUAAAGCAU